rnacentral:rRNA from 1 species
CUUCCUUGGUAACGUAGCUAACGCGUGAAGUUGACCGCCUGGGGAGUACGGCCGCAAGGUUAAAACUCAAAGGAAUUGACGGGGACCCGCACAAGCGGUGGAUGAUGUGGAUUAAUUCGAUGCAACGCGAAAAACCUUACCUACCCUUGACAUGGCAGGAACUUUCCAGAGAUGGAUUGGUGCUCGAAAGAGAACCUGCACACAGGUGCUGCAUGGCUGUCGUCAGCUCGUGUCGUGAGAUGUUGGGUUAAGUCCCGCAACGAGCGCAACCCUUGUCAUUAGUUGCUACGAAAGGGCACUCUAAUGAGACUGCCGGUGACAAACCGGAGGAAGGUGGGGAUGACGUCAAGUCCUCAUGGCCCUUAUGGGUAGGGCUUCACACGUCAUACAAUGGUCGGUACAGAGGGUUGCCAAGCCGCGAGGUGGAGCCAAUCCCAGAAAACCGAUCGUAGUCCGGAUCGCAGUCUGCAACUCGACUGCGUGAAGUCGGAAUCGCUAGUAAUCGCGGAUCAGAAUGCCACGGUGAAUACGUUCCCGGGCCUUGUACACAC